GACGAACGCUGGCGGCGUGCCUAAUACAUGCAAGUUGAGCGCUGAAGGUUGGUACUUGUACCGACUGGAUGAGCAGCGAACGGGUGAGUAACGCGUGGGGAAUCUGCCUUUGAGCGGGGGACAACAUUUGGAAACGAAUGCUAAUACCGCAUAAAAACUUUAAACACAAGUUUUAAGUUUGAAAGAUGCAAUUGCAUCACUCAAAGAUGAUCCCGCGUUGUAUUGGCUAGUUGGUGAGGUAAAGGCUCACCAAGGCGAUGAUACAUAGCCGACCUGAGAGGGUGAGCGGCCACAUUGGGACUGAGACACGGCCCAAACGCCUACGGGAGGCAGCAGUAGGGAAGCUUCGGCAAUGGACGAAAGUCUGACCGAGCAACGCCGCGUGAGUGAAGAAGGUUUUCGGAUCGUAAAACUCUGUUGGUAGAGAAGAACGUUGGUGAGAGUGGAAAGCUCAUCAAGUGACGGUAACUACCCAGAAAGGGACGGCUAACUACGUG
rnacentral:rRNA from 1 species